rnacentral:rRNA from 1 species
ACAUGCAAGUCUACUUGAUCCUUCGGGUGAAGGUGGCGGACGGGUGAGUAACGCGUAAAGAACUUGCCUUACAGACUGGGACGACAUUUGGAAACGAAUGCUAAUACCGGAUAUUAUGAUUGGGUCGCAUGAUCUGGUUAUGAAAGCUAUAUGCGCUGUGAGAGAGCUUUGCGUCCCAUUAGUUAGUUGGUGAGGUAACGGCUCACCAAGACGAUGAUGGGUAGCCGGCCUGAGAGGGUGAACGGCCACAAGGGGACUGAGACACGGCCCUUACUCCUACGGGAGGCAGCAGUGGGGAAUAUUGGACAAUGGACCAAAAGUCUGAUCCAGCAAUUCUGUGUGCACGAAGAAGUUUUUCGGAAUGUAAAGUGCUUUCAGUUGGGAAGAAGUCAGUGACGGUACCAACAGAAGAAGCGACGGCUAAAUACGUGCCAGCAGCCGCGGUAAUACGUAUGUCGCAAGCGUUAUCCGGAUUUAUUGGGCGUAAAGCGCGUCUAGGCGGCUUAGUAAGUCUGAUGUGAAAAUGCGGGGCUCAACCCCGUAUUGCGUUGGAAACUGCUAAACUAGAGUACUGGAGAGGUAGGCGGAACUACAAGUGUAGAGGUGAAAUUCGUAGAUAUUUGUAGGAAUGCCGAUGGGGAAGCCAGCCUACUGGACAGAUA